rnacentral:lncRNA from 1 species
CCCACGUGUUCUAGUAGAUUUUAGUGGCAUGACUGUAUUGUUUCCGAGAAAUCUCCGUUUUAAUCAGAAAUAGAAGGAAUGGAACUAUAUUGAUAUGAAACACUAUAUUGACGGUAUUGCUGAGAACGUAGUAAGAUCGCGGUAUGAACGUAGUAUAAUCGUGGUAAGAACGUGCUAUAAUCGCAGUAAGAUCGUGUUGCAAUCGGAUAACUCGUGGUAUGGUCGUAGUGAGAACGUGAAGAGCGUAGAAAGAUCUUUAUAAGCGUAGUGAGGUCGCAGAAUAAGCGCGGUGAGAACGUGGUUUAAUCGUAGCGGGAUCG